CUUGAUGGCCCCCAGCAGCAACGGCUCACCUUCGGGACGUCCCUGUCCGUAGGUGGCCAGCAGCGCCUGCGCCUC
rnacentral:antisense_RNA from 1 species